CAGUAGCCACGGUAAAACAGAGGUCUCAAGCGUUGUUCGGAUUCAUUGGGCGUAAAGGGAGCGUAGGCGGUCGGGUAAGUUGGAUGUGAAAUCCUGGGGCUCAACCUCAGAACUGCAUUCAAUACUGCUUGGCUAGAGUACUGGAGAGGUGAGUGGAAUUCACGGUGUAGCAGUGAAAUGCGUAGAUAUCGUGAGGAAGACCAGCGGCGAAGGCGGCUCACUGGACAGUUACUGACGCUGAUGCUCGAAGGCCAGGGGAGCGAACAGGAUUAGAUACCCCUGUAGUCCCUGUCUCUUAUAC
rnacentral:rRNA from 1 species